AUCUAUUAGUUUGCUGUAAUAACCAGUAUUACAAUCUCUGGAUCCUUUGUGUGUUCACUGAAGGUUACCUGAUGUAACACCACACCCUCUCUGGGCUGAAG